rnacentral:pre_miRNA from 1 species
UGUGCACCAGUGGGGUCCCUUGGCCUGGCCUGCGCCUUCUCACAAUCUGGGACCCUUCAGGGGAUGUCAGAGAGCCAGGUUUUGGCCCAAUCCCGCAGGCCAGGCCGAGGGACUCCACUGGUGCAUG